GACGAACGCUGGCGGCGUGCUUAACACAUGCAAGUCGAACGAAGAGCGAUGGAAGCUUGCUUCUCUCAAUCUUAGUGGCGAACGGGUGAGUAACGCGUAAUCAACCUGCCCUUCAGAGGGGGACAACAGCUGGAAACGACUGCUAAUACCGCAUACGAUCUAAUCUCGGCAUCGAGGAUGGAUGAAAGGUGGCCUCUACAUGUAAGCUAUCACUGAAGGAGGGGAUUGCGUCUGAUUAGCUAGAUGGAGGGGUAACGGCCCACCAAGGCGAUGAUCAGUAGCCGGUCUCAGAGGAUGAGCGGCCACACUGGUACUGGGACACGGCCCAGACUCCUACGGGAGGCAGCAGUGGGGAAUCUUCCGCAAUGGACGAAAUUCGGACGAAUCAACGCCGCGUGAGUGAUGACGGCCUUCGUGUUGUAAAGCUCUGUUAAUCGGGACGAAAGGCCUUCUUGCGAAUAGUGAGAAGGAUUGACGGUACCGGAAUAGAAAGCCACGGCUAACUACGUG
rnacentral:rRNA from 1 species